rnacentral:rRNA from 1 species
UGCAGUCGAGCGAAUGGAUUGAGAGCUUGCUCUCAAGAAGUUAGCGGCGGACGGGUGAGUAACACGUGGGUAACCUGCCCAUAAGACUGGGAUAACUCCGGGAAACCGGGGCUAAUACCGGAUAACAUUUUGAACUGCAUGGUUCGAAAUUGAAAGGCGGCUUCGGCUGUCACUUAUGGAUGGACCCGCGUCGCAUUAGCUAGUUGGUGAGGUAACGGCUCACCAAGGCAACGAUGCGUAGCCGACCUGAGAGGGUGAUCGGCCACACUGGGACUGAUACACGGCCCAGACUCCUACGGGAGGCAGCAGUAGGGAAUCUUCCGCAAUGGACGAAAGUCUGACGGAGCAACGCCGCGUGAGUGAUGAAGGCUUUCGGGUCGUAAAACUCUGUUGUUAGGGAAGAACAAGUGCUAGUUGAAUAAGCUGGCACCUUGACGGUACCUAACCAGAAAGCCACGGCUAACUACGUGCCAGCAGCCGCGGUAAUACGUAGGUGGCAAGCGUUAUCCGGAAUUAUUGGGCGUAAAGCGCGCGCAGGUGGUUUCUUAAGUCUGAUGUGAAAGCCCACGGCUCAACCGUGGAGGGUCAUUGGAAACUGGGAGACUUGAGUGCAGAAGAGGAAAGUGGAAUUCCAUGUGUAGCGGUGAAAUGCGUAGAGAUAUGGAGGAACACCAGUGGCGAAGGCUACUUUCUGGUCUGUAACUGACACUGAGGCGCGAAAGCAUGGGGAGCAAACAGGAUUAGAUACCCUGGUAGUCCACGCCGUAAACGAUGAGUGCUAAGUGUUAGAGGGUUUCCGCCCUUUAGUGCUGAAGUUAACGCAUUAAGCACUCCGCCUGGGGAGUACGGCCGCAAGGCUGAAACUCAAAGGAAUUGACGGGGGCCCGCACAAGCGGUGGAGCAUGUGGUUUAAUUCGAAGCAACG